ACAGGAGCUGCUCCUGGGCUUCCUGCAAACUGAGACCUCACCACCUCCUCUUCAGAGCUGCCCUGUGGGUGGGAGUCUUGGCCACCAGAGCUCAGCUGGCAUCAGGCACCUGGAGCCUUGGAAAAUGAAACUGCAGAUAAGGGAGGACUACCGUAUUCAUGUAACCAGAGAGAAAACAAAUUUCCACAAUUGGUAUGAACGCGGGGGGACAUCCUCUGGGGCUUUUCCUCAGCUGUGCACCCAGAAUGCAUGGUCCCUCGACCACCUCAUAGCCCAUCCUGAGCCCAGUGCCCAUCUUGCUGUGGUCCAGCCCACACCUCCACCUGCACGUGCACACCACUCUCUCUCCUGUGCCCAGAGAGGUGUUUCCUGCCUGCCAGCCUGACCUGCAUCUAUGAACCAGCACCUCUGGGACCCAAUACCUUCUCUGCCAUUCAAGGGGCUGCAGCCACAGACAUCCAGCGAAGUCAGGACCCCAGCCUCGGGGGCAGGUCCUUCCAAGGUUGUCUUCUUCAGCCCUAGGGUGCUGUUCCGAUUCUUCCUGACAUCAUUUUAGGCACUCUUCUAUCAUAGUUUAAUAAUUAUGUAUAGAAAAUGUCUCCUAUUCAGAUCACUGUGUGGUUUCUGUGUCUUUAUUGAAAUCUGAUGGACUGAUCCCCAGGAAGACCCCUCAGGCACCCUGGAGAGAAUGGAAGCUCCCUAAUCCAAAGAGUGAGUGUGAGUCCAUCUCAGUCACCGUGUGUCUGCUGCAUGGCUGAGGCCACGUGACUGCACCUCCCUGGGCUCAGUUUGCUCACCCAGGAAAUGCGGAGAAAGCUUCCUUCUCCAAUGGAUGCUGAGACUGCGAAAUGAGACCAUGCAUAUGAAGCACAGAGCAUGGGGCCAGGUACCUGCCGGUGUUCAAGAUGGUAGAACUGCACCUUCGUAAGUGUGGUGGGCAUCACAUGGGACAGUGUGUGGAGUGACCGGCAUGGGGCCUGGGGGGAAGUGGAGGCUCAAAACCCAACCUCCCUCCCUCUCUCCCUCCUGUCCUCCUUCUCUCCCAGGACACCCCUCCCUCAGGCCCCCAAGGCUCUAGUUUCUCUCCCCAAGUCCCCCUGUGUGGUGGUUAAUACUGAGUGUCAACUUGAUUGGAUCGAAGAUGCAAAGUAUUGAUCCUGGGUGUGUCUGUGAGGGUGUUGCCAAAGGAGAUUAACAUUUGAGUCAGUGGGCUGCAGAAGGCAGACCCACCCUUAAUCUGGUGGGCACCAUCUAAUCAGCUGCCAGCGAAUAUACAGCAGGAAGAAAAACGUGAAAAGGUGAGACUGGCCUAGGUUCCCAGCCUACGUCUUUCUCCCGUGCUAGAUGCUUCCUGCCCUCGAACAUCAGACUCCAAGUUCUUCAGUUUUGAGACUUAGACAGGUUCUCCUUGCUCCUCAAGCUUGCAGACGGCCUAUUGUGGGACCUUGUGAUCAUGU
rnacentral:lncRNA from 10 species